rnacentral:rRNA from 1 species
UACGUAGGGUGCGAGCGUUGUCCGGAAUUAUUGGGCGUAAAGAGCUCGUAGGCGGUCUGUCGCGUCUGCUGUGAAAACCCGAGGCUCAACCUCGGGCCUGCAGUGGGUACGGGCAGACUAGAGUGCGGUAGGGGAGACUGGAAUUCCUGGUGUAGCGGUGAAAUGCGCAGAUAUCAGGAGGAACACCGGUGGCGAAGGCGGGUCUCUGGGCCGAUACUGACGCUGAGGAGCGAAAGCGUGGGGAGCGAACAGG